UACGGUAGGUGGCAAGCGUUGUUUCGGAUUUAGCUAGGGCGUAAGGCGCGUAGGCGGCGUGACAAGUCACUUGUGAAAUCUCCGGGCUUAACUCGGAACGGUCAAGUGAUACUGUCGUGCUAGAGUACAGAAGGGGCAACUGGAAUUCCUGGUGUAGCGGUGAAAUGCGCAGAUAUCAGGAGGAACACCGGUGGCGAAGGCGGGUCUCUGGGCCGUAACUGACGCUGAGGAGCGAAAGCGUGGGGAGCGAACAGG
rnacentral:rRNA from 1 species